ACUUCACCCCUCCCUGAGUGGCUGCUGUGUGGGCUGGGUGGUCAGAGAGGCAGAGGGCUGAGGCCCGGAAUGGGUCUGCAUGUUCCGUUUCUGCGGAAAGUGAGGCAGCACUCUGUCCUUCCCAACCCCAGAAUAUCUAGAACGGGGGCCAGGAUAGGGAGGGAAUGUGUGGAUCUGCCUCUGAGAUGGGUCCCACCCCAGCCCCCAAAGCCUGGACCUGAGUCACCAGGAGACAGAGGCUGCAGGGGAAGCUCACCGGGGAAGGGCCGCCUGUGGGGGCACCAUAGCAGGGUCUGGGGGUGAAAGCUCCCCUUCUACCAGACACAAGCACAGACACGCUCCUGGGGCAGCCUGGCCCAGGCCCAGCUCAUGCAGUGCACAGGGUGUUGCUGGAGGUCACCCCUCUGCUUAGCGUCUGAGGUGGGGGCAGUGGGCUGUGACUCCUCCAGGACUGAGGUGAGGGGGCACAGGGACAGGUCAGAAGCACAUCCAGACCCACAGCUGCUUCAGUAACGAAACCCACAGUCGGCCAGGAAGUAAACAAAGGCUGCACUUUGUUAGCUCUGGGGAACAUGGGCGUGAGCAGACACUAUUGAUUUCUCAUCAAACAAACAGAAGGCGGUGUCAUAAUCCAGAGACCCACCGCCAGGAGGGGCUGCAGUGUGUGCCCUGGGCUGCUGGUCUCCGGGGGAGCGCCUGUCUUUGGGGGCUUUACACUAUUUGUCCAAAAUUCUGGCCUCUUCUCAGUGGUGAAUUUGUUUUCCCUCCUGCAAGCUGGGCUGGGUGAAGCUGAAGCCUCUUACAAGGCAGUGGUUCAGGUGUCCUCAGGAGACAUACCAGAUCCAGGCUCAGGCUGAACUUCCUGAUAACCUUAAGAAGCGAAGGCUAGCCUCAGAGAAGUCCAACAGCUCACCCAGGGCUGCUCUGCAUUUGCUAGAGGUGGCGGGUCAGUGCCUCUCUCCCUGGAUGAAUCAAGGCUGGUGUGGACAAUGAGGCCUCCAUCCCUGCUUACACAGCAGGGGCAUGCCAAAGUCCUAUCUGCCUGACCAGGGAGCCUUGCCCAGCUGCUGCUGGCUGCUUGUUGGGGACCCAGGCUGCAAGAUGUGGAGAGUGUUAUUUAGCAGCAGCAGGAGUAAUAAUAUUAAUGAUAGCCACAAUAGUAAUAACGAUAAUGACAGUGAUAAUAUUUAGCAUUUAUAGAAUACCAUACAUGAAGCGCCUUACAUGUAUCUUCUCAUUUAGUCUUUAUUGGAACCCUAUGAGGCUGGUACUAUUAUUUAUCCCCAUUUCACAGAAGGGGAAACUGAAGCUUAGAGCAGUCAAGGUUACUAGGCUAGUAACUUUCCAAGGUUCUAGCCAGCAAGUGGCAGACCCCAGGCCCAUGCCCUUCAGUAGCAAGCUGUGCCACCCCCUUCCCUCAGGUAGGGGAGGUGUGCGUGUGUUUUGGGUGUUUGUACACAUCGGGCUGGGACCCCUUCGGGGCUGCUGCUGCCCUGCUCCCUCAUGUAGGGGCUCUGAGAAGCACCGGGCCUUGCCUAUUUGUGGGCUACUGACUCAACCACCAGCAGCAAGUGUUUCCUGAGAGGUAACGAAGGGGCCAUUAAUCUCCGGUUGCAACUGCAAUUACCCAAAUUGCUAACCUUAUAGCGAAAAGUAGAAAUGCAAUUGAGUUUGUGCUGGAGGCAUGUUUGAAGGAGGGGAAGACCACUCCAAGUAAUUUAAUUAACCGAUGGCAAGUACAUUAAGAGGAAUUUUGCCUCUGCUUUUACUUCUGAUGUUUUUCAAUAGAGUGCCAAGUAAUGCAGAUGAAAUGCUCCCACAGACACAGGUGGACCUGUCCCAGUGCUGAUCAAUCAUUACUGGCCAAGCAGGUUUCAGAGCUGGCACUGUAGCUUGUGAGCAGGAACAGCGGAGGACAUCACACUCACAAAUCCGUGCACCCCAGUGCAGUCCAGUCUUUACAGAUAGGGCACUGCUCUUUCUCGCUAAGUUCUCAGACAAGCCCUGGCCGUCGCAGGCCCAGAGGCUGAAGGGUUCUGCCUGUCCAGCAUCUUUCCAGCAAGCACCCACCAGGGUUGUGCUGCACUGACAUUGAAAGCUGUAUAGGACGCUGGCUAUGUUCACCAUGGUGGGGAAUCACGGGAAACGCUCCUGUCCAGUGUGACAAGGCUAGGGGAAGAGCACUCCUUGGCAGCUUUGACCAGGGCAUAACCUCCAGAAUGGCCCCCUCUUUCCAUCUGCUUCCCCCAUGACCUCCAGGGCGUAGCUGAAGGGGCCUAGAGAGUAGGCGAGGACUAACUUCGGUGGUUCCUGCAGCAUUUCGUGCUGGGCCUUUCUCCCCACAGAAGUCUCAGAGUUGGAAGCGGCCUUUAAGGUCACGGAGUUUAGCUGCCUUCCUGUGGCUAGCAGCAUCGCAGACCAUAGUCCCUGCUUGAGUUUGCAUGUGCCUUGGGAUGGGGAGCUCAGCGCCUCCUGUGACAGCUCUCUCUCCAUGGUGGGGCAGGUUUGAUGGCUGGAAUGGUGCUCCAUCUCAGGGGCCCAAAUUGACAUCCUUUUGAGGCACACCUUGUGCUAGUCCGACUCAUGGGCUCACAUGGCCCAGGCGAGCUCCCUUUGCCCCAGCCCCUACCCCACCACCUUCGAGAUGUUAGCAGGAACUGAGCAUUCAUCCCACAGGUCUUUCUUCUCUGGGCAAGCAUCCCACGGUGGACCAGGUACCCUGUCCUGAGCCAACAAGGCUAGGGCUGCCCUCUCUUCUGCCUGAAAAUUAUCUUCCUGUUACUGUAACCCAAGACCCGUCAGCUGUCCUGGCAGCUCAUUCCAUGGGUGACAUCACUCUGUCUUCUCACAUGAACUUCUGGGAAGCCACAUCACCUCUUGUGCCAAACCUGAACCAAUAAAUAUCCUUGAAUUAUGUCACUUCUUUAAGUCCAAUAGAAGGGAAGUAUUGCUAAUGUUUUUCUUAUAGAUUAAUUCAUUGAGGACCGGCAGGUUAAAUUACUCAAUGUCACAAAGCUGACAUGGAUGACGCUGGGACCCCAACAGAGGCUGCCUGGUUCCCGAGCACAGAAGCCCCCCUGCUGGCCAUGCCAGGCUGCGUGAGCUCGGCUGCUUUCUUCUUCCACACAGC